rnacentral:rRNA from 1 species
AGAGUUUGAUCAUGGCUCAGGACGAACGCUGGCGGCGUGCUUAACACAUGCAAGUCGAACGGAAAGGCCCUUCGGGGUACUCGAGUGGCGAACGGGUGAGUAACACGUGGGUGAUCUGCCCUGCACUCUGGGAUAAGCCUGGGAAACUGGGUCUAAUACCGGAUAGGACCGCAUGCUUCAUGGUGUGUGGUGCAAAGCUUUUGCGGUGUGGGAUGAGCCCGCGGCCUAUCAGCUUGUUGGUGGGGUAAUGGCCCACCAAGGCGACGACGGGUAGCCGGCCUGAGAGGGUGACCGGCCACACUGGGACUGAGAUACGGCCCAGACUCCUACGGGAGGCAGCAGUGGGGAAUAUUGCACAAUGGGCGCAAGCCUGAUGCAGCGACGCCGCGUGAGGGAUGACGGCCUUCGGGUUGUAAACCUCUUUCAGUAGGGACGAAGCGAAAGUGACGGUACCUACAGAAGAAGGACCGGCCAACUACGUGCCAGCAGCCGCGGUAAUACGUAGGGUCCGAGCGUUGUCCGGAAUUACUGGGCGUAAAGAGCUCGUAGGUGGUUUGUCGCGUUGUUCGUGAAAACUCACAGCUUAACUGUGGGCGUGCGGGCGAUACGGGCAGACUAGAGUACUGCAGGGGAGACUGGAAUUCCUGGUGUAGCGGUGGAAUGCGCAGAUAUCAGGAGGAACACCGGUGGCGAAGGCGGGUCUCUGGGCAGUAACUGACGCUGAGGAGCGAAAGCGUGGGGAGCGAACAGGAUUAGAUACCCUGGUAGUCCAA